rnacentral:rRNA from 1 species
CAGUCGAGAAUCAUUCGCAAUGGGCGAAAGCCUGACGAUGCGACGCCGCGUGUGUGAUGAAGGCCUUCGGGUCGUAAAGCACUUUCGCUUGGGAACAAGAGAGGUCGGCCAAUAACCGGCCAAUUUGAGGGUACCAGGUAAAGAAGCACCGGCUAACUCCGUGCCAGCAGCUGCGGUAAUACGGAGGGUGCAAGCGUUAAUCGGAUUUAUUGGGCGUAAAGGGCGCGUAGGCGGACGGAAAAGUCGGACGUGAAAUCCCAGGGCUUAACCCUGGAACAGCAUCCGAAACUUUUUGUCUAGAGGGUAGGCGGAGAAAACGGAAUUCCACAAGUAGCGGUGAAAUGCGUAGAUAUGUGGAAGAACACCGGUGGCGAAGGCGGUUUUCUAGCUUAUUCCUGACGCUAAAGCGCGAAAGCAAGGGGAUCAAACAGGAUUAGA